CACUGUACAGCUAUCCUAGCAUUAACCUUUUAAGUUAAAGACGGGGGCAAAGACACACCCUCUGCAGUGG
rnacentral:tRNA from 1 species